GACAGUGACCAGGUGUAGGGCAGAUGAAGUAUUUUGGUCCAACUGUCUUGAGUUCAAUAUCGGUGUCUCCGUCGGAAUGUUUCUCAGACGCGGAGGAGCCGUCGCAGCCAUCAUAUCCGGCUUUGUCAACCACAUCCACCGAGUGUGAGGCACCAUACUUGAACUCUGUUUCAAAACCGCCAUUGAAAAAAUCAAAACCUAAGUACAGAGUUUUUUCCCUGAAGAAUAGAAUUUUCUUGUGGAUUAAGUUCUCAUAUUCUCAUCUCUUUUUGUUAAAAAGUUCUCAUCUCAUUAUGAGAAACCUAAGAGUCUUAAAUGUGGAUAAACCGAACCGAAAUCAAACUGAACCAAAUAAGCGUAGAACAAAUUGUACAUAGAAGAAACAAAUUAACAAUUAUACUUUCUCUAUGUUCAAGAGACUGGAACCAAAAAACAAAACUAAUUCCGUAUCAAGCUAGAUUUUAGUUCAGUUGAGUUACUAGAUUUUACCAUAGCUUGAAUCUACAUAUAGAAGUUAUAACUUGAUGAUGGUUUACCUAGAGUGUCACCAACCCUGAAAGUCUUUCCUUUAACCCAAUCUGCGUAGUCCACACCACUGGCCCAUUGAGAAGCGUCUCCGACCGUGUGCGUCACAGCGAGCGCGGCUGGGACAAUGGCCAGGACUAGGAGAAGAGCGGUUGCAGCCAUCUUUAAUGAACCAUUCAUUGCCAUUUUUGUUUGGAAGAGAG
rnacentral:lncRNA from 1 species